CAUAUCCGGUGCCCUUGACAGGGGUAAAAGGGAAGCGGGUGAGAAGCCUGCACGAUCGCGUCACUGUAAUAGAUGAGCGCUGAUCAGUAUGCAAAGCCACUGGACACAGAAGCUGUGAUAAACAGCUGCGAUAGAUCCGGGAAGGCAGAUCAGCGUGAUGAAGCUUAAGUCAGGAAACCUGCCGGAUAUG
rnacentral:ncRNA from 1 species